GAUGAACGCUGGCGGCGUGCCUAAUACAUGCAAGUCGAGCGAACGGACGAGAAGCUUGCUUUUCUGAUGUUAGCGGCGGACGGGUGAGUAACACGUGGAUAACCUACCUAUAAGACUGGGAUAACUUCGGGAAACCGGAGCUAAUACCGGAUAAUAUUUUGAACCGCAUGGUUCAAAAGUGAAAGACGGUCUUGCUGUCACUUAUAGAUGGAUCCGCGCUGCAUUAGCUAGUUUGUAAGGUAACGGCUUACCAAGGCAACGAUGCAUAGCCGACCUGAGAGGGUGAUCGGCCACACUGGAACUGAGACACGGUCCAGACUCCUACGGGAGGCAGCAGUAGGGAAUCUUCCGCAAUGGGCGAAAGCCUGACGGAGCAACGCCGCGUGAGUGAUGAAGGUCUUCGGAUCGUAAAACUCUGUUAUUAGGGAAGAACAUAUGUGUAAGUAACUGUGCACAUCUUGACGGUACCUAAUCAGAAAGCCACGGCUAACUACGUG
rnacentral:rRNA from 1 species